AGUGAACGCUGGCGGUAGGCCUAACACAUGCAAGUCGAACGGCAGCACAGGAGAGCUUGCUCUCUGGGUGGCGAGUGGCGGACGGGUGAGGAAUACAUCGGAAUCUACUUUUUCGUGGGGGAUAACGUAGGGAAACUUACGCUAAUACCGCAUACGACCUACGGGUGAAAGCAGGGGACCUUCGGGCCUUGCGCGAUUGAAUGAGCCGAUGUCGGAUUAGCUAGUUGGCGGGGUAAAGGCACACCAAGGCGACGAUCCGUAGCUGGUCUGGGAGGAUGAUCAGCCACACUGGAACUGAGACACGGUCCGGACUCCUACGGGAGGCAGCAGUGGGGAAUAGUGGACAAUGGGCGCAAGCCUGAUCCAGCCAUACCGCGUGGGUGAAGAAGGCCUUCGGGUUGUAAAGCCCUUUUGUUGGGAAAGAAAUCCAGCUGGCUAAUACCCGGUUGGGAUGACGGUACCCAAAGAAUAAGCACCGGCUAACUUCGUGCCAGCCGCCGCGGUAA
rnacentral:rRNA from 1 species